AAAGAAUUAGUUAAAAUGAUAACAUAGCUUUGUCAAAGCUAAAUUACUUAUAAAAGUAUUCUUUA
rnacentral:tRNA from 1 species